rnacentral:lncRNA from 1 species
GAAGAGGCCAAACAUAAAAUCAAAGAAAAGGAGUAUGAGGCUGACUAUAAGAAGGAAGAGCACAAGGAAAAAUUCAAAGAAGAACUAGCCGAGGCUAAGUACAAAGUAGAAAAAAUCAAGGAAAAGAUCGAGUGUGAAGUAGAAGAGGCAAAACAUAAAAUCAAAGAAAAGGAGUAUGAGGCCGACUAUAAGAAGGAAGAGCAGAAGGAAAAAUUCAAAGAAGAACUAGCCGAGGCUAAGUACAAAGUAGAAGAAAUCAAGGAAAAGAUCGAGUGUGAAGUAGAAGAGGCCAAAGAGAAAAUCAAAGAAAAGGAAUAUGAGGCUGAGUACAAGAAGGAAGAGCACAAGGAAAAACUCAAGAAAGAAGUAGAGGAGGCCAAGUACAAAAUAGAAGAAUUCAAGGAUAAUAUUGACUAUAAAGUAGAGGAGAUUAAGGAGAAAAUUGAGGAAAAAAUUGAAGAAAUCAAGGAAAAGGUCGAGUAUGAAGUAGAAGAGGCCAAAGAGAAACAUAAGGAAAAGGAAUAUGAAUCUAAGCAUAAGAAGGAAGAACGCAAGGAAAAACUUAAGGAAGAAGUAGAGGAGGCAAAGUACAAAAUAGAAGAAUUAAAGGAAAAGAUCGAGCAUAAAAUAGAAGAAGUUAAGGAGAAAAUUGAUGAGAAAGUCGAAGAAAUUGAGCACAAGGUUGAAUGUGAAGUAGAAGAAGCCAAAGAAAAACAUAAGGAAAAAAAGUAU